ensembl:lncRNA
GGAGACUGAGAGACCGCCUGGUGCGGGGGGCUGCCACCAGAGGGCUGGUGCGUGGAGGAGGCACCGGAUAGACCGGACCAUGGAGGUGCACUGUAGGUCUCGAGCACCGAGCCUGCACAACCCUACCUGGCUGGAUACUCCCCGUAGCCAGGCCAGUGUGGCGAGGUGGUAUAGACCGCACUGAGCUGUGCUGGCGAACCGGGGACACCAUACGUAGGGCUGGUGCCAUGUACCCCGGCCCGAGAAGACCCACUGGAGACCAGAGGCGCUGAGCCGGCUUCAUGGCACCUGGCUCGAUGCCCACUCUAGCCCGGCCGAUGCGAGGCCCUGCUAUGUAUAACGCACCGGACUAUGCCUGCGCACCAGGGACACCGUGCGCCUCGCGGUAUAACACAGUGCCUGCCCGGUUCACCUCUUUCCACGGUAAGCACGGGGAGUUAGCUCAGGUCUCCUACCUGACUUAGCGACACUCCACAUGUGCCCCGUGUGCACUGCCGUGCCAACUCCUCAAAAUGCCGCCGCUCUGCUUUGGCUGCCUUCAGCUCUUCCCUGGGGCGGCGAUAUUCCCCAGCCUGUGUCCAGGGUCCCUUGCCAUCCAGAAUCUCCUCCCAUGUCCAGGAGUCUUGAGAUUUCUGCCGCUGCCCGUUACCACGCUGCUUGGUCCUUGGUUGGUGGGUGAUUCUGUAAUGGCUGUCUGUGGUGGAAGAAGGUGAGGACCAAUGCGUAGCGUGAUGAACGUGGUACCUUCAGGCAUCUGGAAAUUCCUCUGACACCGCCUGGUAUAGAGGUCCUGGAUGGCAGGAAGCUUGGCUCCAGAGGCUGAGCAGCUGCCAUACCAGUCAGUGAUGCACUCGAUGGUACAGCUGUAGAACCUUUUGAGAAUCUGAGGACCCAUGCCGAAUCCUUUCUGUCUCCUGUCAUGCCUUCUUCAGACUGUCUUAGUGUGUUCGGACCAUGAUAGUUUGUUGGUGAUGUAGAGACCAAGGAACUUGAAGCUCUCAACCUGCUCCACUACAGCCCCGUCGAUGAGAAUGGGGGCGUGCUCGGUCCUCCUUUUCCUGUAGUCCACAAUCAUCUCCUUUGUCUUGAUCUCGUUGAGGGAGAGGUUUUUGUCCUGGCACCACACGGCCAGGUCUCUGACCUCCUCCCUAUUGGCUGUCUCAUCAGUGUCGGUGAUCAGGCCUAGCAUUUGUUGUGUCAUCUGCAAACUUGAUGAUGGUUUUGGAGUCAUGCCUGGCCAUGCAGUCAUGAGUGAACAGGGAGUACAGGAGGAGACUGAGCACGCAUCCCUGAGGGGCCCCCGUGUUGAGGAUCAGCGUGGCGGAUGUGUUGUUACCUACCCUUACUACCUGG